rnacentral:lncRNA from 1 species
AUGAAACAAGUGUUUCCUCCAUGGGAUAUUGUUCUGGAUUAAUGGUAUCUAGAAAAUACUGGGAACAAGCUCAGACAAAAGGAAUGAUACUCAAUAAUUAGCAAGAUCUUUGUGUCAUGUAGUAGAACACCUCAACUUUCCUAUCCUUGCACUUUAGCAUCGCCUUAAAUGGGGAGACAACUGUGCUCAGCAAAACAUAGCCUUUGUUUUGUUUUGUCUAUCUAUCUAUCUAUCUAUCUAUCUAUCUAUCUAUCUAUCUAUCUAUCUAUCUAUCUAUCAAUGUUUUUCUAAGACAGGGUUUCUCUGUUUAGUCCUGGCUGUCCUGGAACUCUCUCUGUAGACCAGGCCAGCCUUGAAUUCGGAGAGCUACCUACCUCUGCCUCCCAAGUGCUGGGAUUAAAGGCAAGAGUCAUCAUACUCAACUAUUUUUUUUGAAUUGUUAAAAAAUAUUUGGUUAUUUUGAGUUUGUGUGAAUUGACAUGUUUUUUUAAUGGGGGGGGGGGGGUUCAAGACAGGGUUUCUCUGUGUAGCCCUGGAUGUCCUGGAACUCACUCUGUAGACCAGGCUGGCCUUGAACUCAGAAAACCACCUACCUCUGCCUCCCAAGUGCUGGGAUUAAAGGUGUGCACCACCACUGCCCAGCAUGAAUUGACGUUUUGCCUACAUACAUUUAUAUAUAUAUACACACACACACACAUACACACACACACACACACACACACACACACACACACACACACACACACACAUAUAUAUAUAUAUAUAUAUAUAUAUAUAUAUCUGUAUGAAGGUGUGAGGAUGCCCUGGAACUGGAGUUACAGACAACCAUGAGUUGCCAUAUGGGUGCUAGGAUUUGAAUUGGGUCUGCUGGAAGAGUAGCCAGUGCCUUACCCUGGAAUCAUCUCUCCAGGCCUAUUUCUGUUGUUUUGAGGCAGGGUCUCAUGUAGCUCAGGGUGGUUUCAAUUUCACCACAUGACCUCAGAUGACCUGGAACUCAUUAUCUUCUUGAUUCCACCUCAAGAAUGCUGGCAUGCACCAUCAUUCCCAGCUAAAGCCAUGAAGGCAUGCACCAUCAUUCCCAGCUAAAGCCAUGAAUCCUCAGACAUUAUAGGAGUGAUCAGAACACCAGAGAGCAGAACUCCUGGCCACAGGGCUAUUCUCCCAAAGAGCAUUCUGCAGCUGUACAAGAACUCAGCAAAUCUCUCUAGGUGGACUGGGCAUAGUGAGGAUGGUCAGUUGCAUUUGUUCAAAUUAUGGAUCUGUGGAUUAUCCCCAAAAAGAAUUUAUUGGGGUCCCUUUCUACUAAUAUGCUAUUGCCCAUGAUAGUCAAAAUGAAGAGUAAUUAUCUAUCUAUCUAUCUAUCUAUCUAUCUAUCUAUCUAUCUAUCUAUCUAUCUACCUACCUACCUACCUACCUACCUACCUACCUACCUACCUACCUACCUACCUAGUGUUGGGGAUAAAAAUCUUACUCUACCACUUAGCUACAACCCUCAUCCCUUGAACUAAAUUUUAAGGUUUAAAUACCAUUAAGAUGAAAGAGACAGCAUUUCAUAUUGAGAGAGCAGAUAAAUAAAAUGUCGGUAGGACACAAUAUGAUAGAGAGGUGGGAAAUUAUUGAGGUCACCAGGAGGUUCUUCUAAUGAAAAGGAGAAUUUGUGUGUAGGCAAGUAGAGAUCAAGUUUGCAGAAGGACAGAGGGAGCAGACUAAAGCCUUUGUCAAUGUAACAGAGGAAUUUGGACUGAAAGCCAUGUGCAGCUGCAUUCUUGUGGAGCUCUGGAAGAGAGCCUUGUGUGGAGGGCUAUCUAGGAACAAGAGACCAGUGCUGCAGUGGAAGGAUUGGUAGGUAACUUGGGGAAUGUAUUCAUGCAGCGGAGAACACUGUGUCCUUAUCUAUUGAGGAGAAAGUGGGAAGGCAAAUGCCUACUAACAGAAUGAGGACAGGAGGGGAGGACAUCGUUGGCAUUGACUGUGACUGGAGAUGGAAGUGUUAUCACACAUAGAGAGAUGCGUUCCCAGGGGUAGGGAAUUGCACCUAUCUCUCUUCCCCAGAGGAGCACCUAUGGAUUCCCACAAGGACCAUCAAGAAAGGAACAAAGAACAGCAACUGUGUUCUUAAAGCUGGUGAAAGGCAAAGUGGUACUUUUGAGACUAAUUCCUUCAAAUAUGAAAUAUUAUUGAUUUUAUGGACUGCCUGCUUUAGUCCAUUUUGUGUUUUAUAUCAUUGAGUACUUUAAUUUAAUUUUUGUUAUUGUUAUUCAAGAUGGGGUUUCUCUGUGUAGCCCUGGCUAUCCUGAACUCACUCUGUAGCCCAGGCUGGUCACAAAAAUCUACCUGCCUUUGCCUCCCUAGUGCUGGGAUUAAAGGUAUGUAUCACUGUGGCCUUUACUAAACUAUUUUUUGAGAAACAAAACUGGUAGGAAAAACAGUGAACUCUUUCUAGCUUGAUCAUUAAACCUUGGUCCAUGCUAAUGUGGUCUCUAGUCCCAUUGGGUAGCUUCACAGCCCCCACCAUUCAUACAAAACCUUUCCUACACAGUAUAUUGAGAGCCAAACAGUUGUCCACUUUAUUUUGAACUACCACUCUCAGCUCUCCACUUUCCUCCCAAGAACUCUUUACCCACUGAACUUGGUAUAGACAAGCUAACAGUUACCCUAGCAUGGACAAGCGAGUUUACUAGAAAGCAACAUUUAGAGUCCUACUGUGUUCAUUUUAAUCUGUUUACUCUAAGACAGAGGACCAAUCUAUCUAAAGGAGUAAGACCAAAUGAAUUCAUGUUACAGAGGUCUCUAGUAUACAGUACACUGGAAAUGCUUUGUAAUAAAUGUAGAAGAGCAUAUUUGAAGUGCUUCACUUUUUCUUGUCUAUUGUUUGCUAUUAAUGUUAUAAUUGUCCAUCCAUUACACUAAUCCAACAUCUCUCUUGUAGGAAAUAUCCUAACUGCAAUGAGCUUGAAUUGCUGUCUUCCAGAUUAAAUCAGUUACUUUCCAGGACAGAAGAAGACACACAGGAGUGAACACUACAGGGGGAGAGCGUCUAGGUGGUUGCAGAGGUUAGUCCCCAGAGAAACUGGAUUACUUGAGCUGAUUUGGAGUUUAGCUGAUCUGGUCCUCAUCAGCCCUAGCAACCAUUUCUUUCCUGACUGAGUCAAUGAGAAACCCACUCUUCACUGUGUAGAUGAAAUCCAGCCCAUGAACGCAUGCUUUCAGCUUCGAUGGACAAUCACUGUUAGCCCGUCCCUCAGACAGAUGUGAUCUUCAACUGCUGAAUGCUAAGGUCCUGCAGCUCUGACAUCCAAAUCUGGAGUUGAAUCUCUGGGGACAAUCAGGAAGACCAGCUGGGGUUGAAUUCUCCCUUAGCCUCACAUCAGGACUUAUGACCUCACCUUAGCCAUGUAAUAUAGUCUGUAUCUAGGUCUUUUUGUAAAAUUAGAAUAAUAAGUACUAAUUGGUCACCAUGAGGAUUAAACAGGAGUGCGUUGAAAGGGCUUAGUAAGCGCCUGAUAAAACUUUUAGCACCCA